rnacentral:lncRNA from 1 species
AAUAGGUACCAGCUUUCCUAAAUGAACAGUGUGGGCCUUGGACCUGCACCUGCAGCAGGUGCGCCCUGAACCCGCAGGUCCUGAGUUGACCUCCCCUUCUCACGGGGAACUCUCCACCCUUCAUCAGAGACAGCAGAAGAAAAACUGUCCAGGCGGGGAGGGGCAGUAGCCAGGAUGGGAGCCCUAGGCAAGGAAGGCUAAGGCGCGCAGGUGACCUGCGGGGGAGUGGUUUUCUUUUUCUUUUCCUUUUCCUUGCAGCGCUUGGGUUCGAACCCAGGGUCUCGCGCUUGGUAGGUAGGAGCACAAGCGCCCCACCCUGAGCUGCACCCUCAACCCGCGAUUUCUAAUGGGCUCCCCCCCACCCCCAUGCGAGCCCUUACAGGAGUCAGAAGAGCCUGUUCUAAAGGCAAAGUUUCUUAGGUGCGAUAAAUGCUGAAAAGGAGGUUGACUAGGAAUGUCCCGCAGCUCGCGUGCGGCGAACCCCAACCCUCGCCUGGGGCGAAAGGAAAGCCCACCUCCCUGCAGACGAGGCUGAGGGUGGACCACUAAACCCAGGCUGAAGCCGAAGGCCUCCGAGCUGCGCGUGCGGAGGUCCUGGAAGGCGCGGCGCAGACCGGAGAGAGCGGGCGGCGCCCGGUGCGGAGCCGGACUCCUGGCUGCGGAGGUGAGCAAGCGGCGCAGGGGUCGUGGAGACGGGCCCAUCACCAUGACCAGCUGGAACGUCAGCCUUCGGCGAAAGGGUGACCCGUGAGAGCUGCAAGCGCAGGCUUAAAAAAAUAAAAUAUAAAAUAAAAAACCAAUCGCAAGGCCCUGCAUUUUCCUCUCAGGGAAUGAAGUCCACCUACUGGCGCCGCGGAAUUUAGCACAGGGGUAUUUUCCUAUCAGCCGCACUUGGCUGUCACCACCAGAGGGCGGCGAAGCCCGCGCCAUCGCGAC